UCCGGUUUGACACCGGCAGUCUCCCUAGAGUGCCCGGCAUAACCCGCUGGUAACUAGGGACGAGGGUUGCGCUCGUUGCGGGACUUAACCCAACACCUCACGGCACGAGCUGACGACAGCCGUGCAGCACCUGUGCACGCUCCCUUGCGGGUCCCUUCGCUUUCGCGUUAGUACCACGUGCAUGUCAAGCCCGGGUAAGGUUCUUCGCGUUGCAUCGAAUUAAACCACACGCUCCGCUGCUUGUGCGGGCCCCCGUCAAUUCCUUUGAGUUUUAGCCUUGCGGCCGUAGUCCCCAGGCGGGGCACUUACUGCGUUUGCGGCGGCACCGGGGGGGUCGAUACCCCCGACACCUAGUGCCCAUCGUUUACAGCGUGGACUAC
rnacentral:misc_RNA from 1 species